rnacentral:rRNA from 1 species
CUGAAGCUUGGUGCUUGCACCGAGUGGAUGAGUUGCGAACGGGUGAGUAACGCGUAGGUAACCUGCCUCUUAGCGGGGGAUAACUAUUGGAAACGAUAGCUAAUACCGCAUAAAAGUCGAUAUCGCAUGAUGUUGACUUGAAAGGUGCAAUUGCAUCACUAAGAGAUGGACCUGCGUUGUAUUAGCUAGUUGGUGAGGUAACGGCUCACCAAGGCGACGAUACAUAGCCGACCUGAGAGGGUGAUCGGCCACACUGGGACUGAGACACGGCCCAGACUCCUACGGGAGGCAGCAGUAGGGAAUCUUCGGCAAUGGGGGCAACCCUGACCGAGCAACGCCGCGUGAGUGAAGAAGGUUUUCGGAUCGUAAAGCUCUGUUGUAAGAGAAGAACGAGUGUGAGAGUGGAAAGUUCACACUGUGACGGUAACUUACCAGAAAGGGACGGCUAACUACGUGCCAGCAGCCGCGGUAAUACGUAGGUCCCGAGCGUUAUCCGGAUUUAUUGGGCGUAAAGCGAGCGCAGGCGGUUAGAUAAGUCUGAAGUUAAAGGCUGUGGCUUAACCACAGUACGCUUUGGAAACUGUUUAACUUGAGUGCAGAAGGGGAGAGUGGAAUUCCAUGUGUAGCGGUGAAAUGCGUAGAUAUAUGGAGGAACACCGGUGGCGAAAGCGGCUCUCUGGUCUGUAACUGACGCUGAGGCUCGAAAGCGUGGGGAGCAAACAGGAUUAGAUACCCUGGUAGUCCACGCCGUAAACGAUGAGUGCUAGGUGUUGGGUCCUUUCCGGGACUC